GGCGGCGUGCUUAACACAUGCAAGUCGAACGAUGAACUGGAGCUUGCUCCAGGGGAUUAGUGGCGAACGGGUGAGUAACACGUGAGUAACCUGCCCUUGACUCUGGGAUAAGCGCUAGAAAUGGCGUCUAAUACCGGAUACGAGCUUCAGCCGCAUGGCUAGGAGUUGGAAAGAAUUUUGGUCAAGGAUGGACUCGCGGCCUAUCAGCUAGUUGGUGAGGUAGUGGCUCACCAAGGCGACGACGGGUAGCCGGCCUGAGAGGGUGACCGGCCACACUGGGACUGAGACACGGCCCAGACUCCUACGGGAGGCAGCAGUGGGGAAUAUUGCACAAUGGGCGAAAGCCUGAUGCAGCAACGCCGCGUGAGGGAUGACGGCCUUCGGGUUGUAAACCUCUUUUAGUAGGGAAGAAGCGAAAGUGACGGUACCUGCAGAAAAAGCACCGGCUAACUACGUGCCAGCAGCCGCGGUAAUACGUAGGGUGCAAGCGUUGUCCGGAAUUAUUGGGCGUAAAGAGCUCGUAGGCGGUUUGUCGCGUCUGCUGUGAAAUCUGGGGGCUCAACCCCCAGCCUGCAGUGGGUACGGGCAGACUAGAGUGCGGUAGGGGAGAUUGGAAUUCCUGGUGUAGCGGUGGAAUGCGCAGAUAUCAGGAGGAACACCGAUGGCGAAGGCAGAUCUCUGGGCCGUAACUGACGCUGAGGAGCGAAAGCAUGGGGAGCGAACAGGAUUAGAUACCCUGGUAGUCCAUGCCGUAAACGUUGGGAACUAGAUGUGGGGGCCAUUCCACGGUCUCCGUGUCGCAGCUAACGCAUUAAGUUCCCCGCCUGGGGAGUACGGCCGCAAGGCUAAAACUCAAAGGAAUUGACGGGGGCCCGCACAAGCGGCGGAGCAUGCGGAUUAAUUCGAUGCAACGCGAAGAACCUUACCAAGGCUUGACAUAUACCGGAAACGUCCAGAGAUGGUCGCCCCGCAAGGUCGGUAUACAGGUGGUGCAUGGUUGUCGUCAGCUCGUGUCGUGAGAUGUUGGGUUAAGUCCCGCAACGAGCGCAACC
rnacentral:rRNA from 1 species